AUGUGUCAGGUAUUGUGUCUAAGACAAUCACAAACUAGAGGAAAGGCCUCAAGACCUGAAUGGAUCUUAGACAUGGAGAGGAACAGAAAUCAGACCCUUUCUGCUCAAAGAAUCCCUCAGUCCCAGGAACUCUGUACACUCUCAAGGUUGGGGACUAAGGGCUGGGAAAAGUCAGACAAAAAAGCUGGUCUCUGUCAGAAAUUUAACGCUGGAGCCAAGGAAGCCUGGACUAUGAAAUGCAGCACCUCCACCCUGCCUUUUCCAUUCCCAUAUACAAUGUCCAGUGAGAAGCAGGGCCAAGUAGAAGCAAAGAAAAUGACGAAGGAUGCAUAGAGAGGGACAGGAAGAAGGAGAGGGGAGAGGAGGAGGGGAAAGGGAAGUGAGAAGACACGCCACGUACAGGGUCCUAGUAACUCCAUAACGAGGUAAGACA
rnacentral:lncRNA from 1 species